GCAGCAGAACUAUGGGGCGAUGACCUCGCUGGAGACAAGAGAAUGACUGUCACCCAGGGCUGCCCAGAGGAUUCAGGAGACCUGGGGUCUUCGGUGGUGUGUCCCUCUUAUCCGCUCUGACACCGCAGAGCAUUUUCCUCAUGUCCCCCUUACCAGCUGGAAGGAGGUUACUAGUGGAGUUCCUCAAGGAUCGGUUUUGGGACCAAUCUUAUUUAACCUUUUUAUUACUGA